rnacentral:lncRNA from 1 species
UCAAACUAAAGUGUCCACUCUACCUCUCUUUCUCCAGUUUUCUCCAUAGGCGGCCAGAUAAUUUUCUUCCUCUUGCUUUUUGAUUCAUUUUCAAAGAAACUUCCCAAAAUUUCAUGGUCUAAUAUCUUUAUGAAAAACCCAAUCUUUCAAUCCAUUUUUUGUUCAUUCAAAUCAAGCAAAAAGGAGCUCUAGAAUCCCUCUCCAAAAAUCCAUUAUAGGCUUAUAUAGAUCAAGUUCGGUUCAGGGGAACACAUUUUCCCUAUGACUAUACGGAGAUGAAAAUCUCACGAAGGCAUGGGUACCGAUGUAUCCCGAAAGCAAUCCACUAUCCUAUACGAAGGUGAAAACCUUACGAAGAAAUAGUUUCUCACUCCCACUUAAAAGGACAAAAUCAUUCAACUCAUGUAUAAUGCAAAAAUAACUAAAAUACUUAGAUUGAUUAAGCAAGAAAAUGAUGAAUGCAAAAGGAUCUUAUGAAUUUUUUUUAAAAUUUAUUUUUCGACCAUAAGACAGAAAUUAAUCAACUUUGUGGCUCGGCUCUCUUAUUUUAGUCCCCAGUGGCAUCGCCAAGCUGUCGAAACCAUUUUUUAUUUUGAAAAAAAACUAAAAUUAGUUGUCGACUUUAAAAAAACAAAAAUUGGGAGUCGCCACCAAUCUUUUAUUGAGGUGUGAUUGGAUCACCUAAACAAUAGCUUUGGUCUACGAGUUUUAGAAAAAUGGAUUCAGGAGUCGGUUACAUACAAGGAAGGAUUAGCACCCUCGUAACGCCCAAAAUUGGUACCUAGUUAAUUAAUUAGUGUCUUAAUGUCGAAAAUUUAAAAAUAUGAUCCUUAAUAAAAACUAAAAAACGUUACUUAUUAAGACUCUUACCAUUUCAGAGAAAGAAAAUGUCACACCCAAUGCGUUAGGGCACGACAUUCUAUUUCCUCAAAAAUGAUUUAGUCCAAAAUACUCUUAUAAUAAAAAUUUAAAAGAAUAUCCAUUUAUUUAAGAUUUAAGAAAUCGCGGCCCAAUACGUUAGGGCACAAUUUCUCAAAAUCCUAAACUUGGAAUAUUUCCUUUGUUAUCAUUUUUAAAAAAAAUAUUUGUCUCGAGAAAUCAAUACGUCACAUCCAAUACGUUAGGAUACAACAUAUUAAAUUCCCGACAACAAGCUUUUCAUUUUAUUUUUUGAUUAAUGAGCAACUCUCAAUCGUUAGAUUUAACGAAGAAAAUCGGAACCCAAUACGUUAGGGCUCAAUUUCCUUGAAAAUCCUAAAUACGAGUAUUAUCUCAAUUUUAAAAAUGUUUGAAUAAAAUGAUUUUGAUGUUUGAAUGUUAUCGAAUAUAGCCUUUUAAGCGAAUAAAAUGUGAUAAAUGAUAAUAUACAACAUGAAGUGAUAAUUCGUAAACAAAACAUACACUAAUGAAUGAUAAAUAAUAAAUAAAUUCGAAAGAAAAUACAUAAACCUAUUUAAGAGAGAAUUUAAAGGUAAUAGAUAAAAUAAUAUGAAAUCAAUAAUAUAUAGAAUAAAAAUAAUUUAUUACAAAUUAUAUAUGUAUAUAUAAAAUAGUAUCGUAUAAAAACAUUUUCAUAUAAAUCUUUAAGACAUAUAAAUAUGUAAAAUGAAUUUCGAAAAUAUAUUACAAAAUAGGGAUAUCAAAGACUCUAUACAAAUCAUGUUGAAUUUACCUAAAAUAUAAAAAAGUGUGAUAAAUCGAAAUAAUAGUAAUAUAUAUUGAAUUUCAAAAUAAUGAUACAUUAUAUUUUUUUACAAAGGGUAAUAUAUACAUAUAAUUCAAUAAACUUAUAGCCAUAAUACAUAUAAAACGUAAAAUAAAAUGGAAAAUACUAAGCUUAAUCAUUAAAAUAGUAUUAGAUUCAAAAUUAAAUAUAUUUAAAAAAAAUAGUGGUGUAAGAAAUCAAGCACAUUGAAUUAACAAGGAUUUAAAUUGAACUCCAAACAGAAUUAAAGGAAAAAAAAUGAAGGCCUAAUUAAAAGGCGCGAAUAACUCAUAGGGCUUGAAAGGGGAAAUAUCUCCAUCCUUUGAAAUGCGUCACUUUAUUAGGGCUAAAUAAAUAAAUAAAAUUCGCAAUGGUAUCACCUUCUCCCUUUUUUUAAAAUCGUAAAUAAGUAAAAAAAAAAAUAAUAAGCCACCUUUAAAAAACUGCCAAUCGUUCUCCUUUUUUUUAUUGAUUUUUUUCCUCCCUCCACAAUGAAGGGAGAGGCCUCUAUUUAUAGUUGAGCCUCUCCAAAUCCAACGGUACAGAUCAAUUACAUCAACGACUAAGAUUAAAGGGUAUCUACAAAUUAAAUCUCUAAGAUUACAAAAUCAUAUCUUCCAAGAUUGCAUAUCAUAUCUAAGAUUGCAUAUAUCAGAUCUAAGAUUGCAUAUCCUUGAAGAUAAUGUUUCCAUAAGCUUGUAGAUGGACCUUCAACCUUUUUAAGUAAUGGGUCAUUCCAAUCAGGUCAAAUGAUAUAAUUUUGUACUGGGCUUAGACUUUAUUUUAUUAUUGUAAGCCCGGGCUAAAAUUGGGUAUUACAAGGAGGGUUUGGUGUAGUUUAUAAAGGGUACUUGAAGGACUUGGAUACUUAUGUUGCUGUUAAACGGAUUUCAAAGGCCUCUAAGCAAGGAAUUAAGGAAUAUGCAUCUGAAGUGAAGAUUAUUAGCCGAUCAAGGCACAAGAAUCUUGUGAAGCUUAUUGGCCAGUGUCAUGAAAAAGGAGAACUUAUACUUGUUUAUGAGUUCAUGGCUAAUGGCAGCCUAGAUUCCCAUCUUUUUAAAGGUAAAACCUUAUUGACUUGGGAAGUGAGAUUUAAAAUUGUGCAGGACCUGGCAUCAGCACUAUUCUAUCUACAUGAAAAGGGUGACCAUUGCGUACUACACAGAGAUAUCAAAGCGAGCAACAUUAUGUUAGAUUCUAGUUUCAAUGCUAAACUUGGGGAUUUCGGACUUGCUAGGCUAGUGGAUCAUGCAAAAGCGUCACAAACCACCCAUUUAGCUGGGACUAUGGGCUAUUUGGCACCUGAAUGCGUUUCAUCGGGAAAGGCUAGCAAGGAAUCGGAUGUCUACAGUUUUGGAGUUGUGGCAUUGGAGAUUGCAUGUGGCAGAAGAUCAAUAGAGCCCAAAUAUGAAGAAUCUCAAGCUUCGUUGGUAACCUGGGUGUGGAAUGCUUAUGGAAGCCAACGGUUGCCUGAUGUAGCUGACCCAAAACUAUGUAUGAACUUUGAUGCUAAACAAAUGGAAUGCUUGUUAAUGGUUGGACUGUGGUGCGUCCAUCCAGACCAGCAUUUAAGACCAUCUAUAAGGCAAACACUUCAGGUUUUUAAUUUCGAAGCACCGUUGCCGAAGCUUCCAGGUACGAGGCCAACUCCAACAUAUGAUGCACAAACCACUUCAGAAAUUCAAGCGAGCCAUGUUUUUCGGGUAUGAGUAUUACAGUCCCGCGUUAGACUAAUAUAAUUAUCACAUACAUAAUAUUCAAAUUGAUAAAAGAUGUCUAUUUACAAUAAUAUAUAUAUAUAUAUCAAUACAUAUUUUAAAUUUUAAAUUUACACAACAAUGGACAAUGAUCAAAAAUAUGGCCGAAUAUUUGCUUGCCCGAAAAAACGAAAAUACCCAAAAGGCAGACCCAAUCUGCCAUAGUUUUGUCAUUAAAAAUAAAUAGAAUUUAACAUGGGGCAUAUUUGAGUGUUGGGCUAUUAAUUGGGUCAUGUUUGGGGCUUAGUUUUUUUAUUCAAAACUCUCCUAAAUUGUGGACUAUUGUUCCAACAAUUAAUUCAACCUUUAAAUACGCUAAUGGUUGAAUUAAACAAAUUUAAAUUAUCGAUUACAAAAGAACAUAAAAACUUAUAGAACUAAUUUAAUUUUUUCUUAUUGUAUGUAAUUCCACCUUUUCAAAUCCAUAUUUAUCAUAAAAUCUCUUAUUAAAUUGAUGUCAUUUUAUAAAAUAAGUUGUAUUAUAUUGAGAGUGUUUUUUUUUUAUAUUUUUUAUAUAGAAAAAUAAACAGAUAUAACCAAAGUACUUAAACUCGCAUCUCUUUAAUUUAAAAAAAACCAUAUCUCUGUUUUUUUUUUAGAUUUUUAUUUUACCAUUCGAUCAAAAUUACGUUUAUAUAGUUUUUUUUUAUGAAUAUAUUUGGUUUAAGUUUUCACCCAACCUAUCAACCAAAAUUCACUAUUUUUAUAUGAAAAUUUUAAAACAAAUUAUAUAUUUAGAAUUAAAUUUAAAUAAUUAAUAAAUAAAAAUUAAAGCCAGAUCGUGCCUACACAAAAUUAAAAUUUCCUUAUUCAAGAUCGGGCCUACCAAGCUGCUUAAUCCUUCAAGUAUAAAUAAGGUCCUAUAAUUAUUGAAAUAUUAAAAAAUAAAUUUAUUUUUAAUGAUAUUUAUAUUUUAAAGCCAACUUUGAAUGAAAUUAAUUUAUUGAUAAUUCAAGUGGAGCUUAGCUCUCCUAAAUGGAAAAAUCUAGCUUCCAGACACAACCGAAAGACAAGUCAACUAUUUCUCCACUACCAAAUACUAUAGUAUAAAAAUAUUUCAAUUUGUUUUUGAAGGUAACAAUAAUUCAAUUACUAUUCAUAUAUGUAUGUAUGUAUGUAUGUAUGUAUAAUAGCUAGUUGGAAUGUAAAACUUUUGCAAGUCAAUAGACAUUCUCAUGCUAUCACCCUAAUAUUAAUUACGUCAUUUAUCAUAUCAUUGCCCUCUUGUGUUGACUAUUAGUUCAAACGAUUGAGGACUAAAUUUAAUUUUAUUUUGGAUUCAUUUUCUACGGUGCUUUGGGCGUAUGAUUGAGAUUCUAAAUCUUAGAGCUUUAGCUAAUGUUUAAUGAAAUUGAUUGCUUUUUUUUGGGGGGGGGGGCGGUUUGGGUGUUGAUUUAGCUAUUCGUUUAUCGUUUUGAUUUUAUGAGUGACAUUUAUGGUAUCAACUAUAGAUUGUCAUUGAGGUGGUUAAAACUGUCUUAUUUGCUUUAAUUAUUUAAUGAAGAAAAUCGUGGUUAUGUAUUGUUUUGAAGAAAUUUUGGUCCUCUUGUUAGCAUAUUCUAAAAUUGUUCCUGAUCAGAUUUGAGGUUCUGGAUAAUUCAUCAUUUUUGCUGAGCUGUAGAAUUGGUUAAUUGUAGAAUUGAUUAUUUCAGCUAACUAACUUUAUCCUCUUUAUUACCAAUUUAUGUAUAAAUCUGCUACCCCUAUACUAUUGAAAAAGGCAGACUGGUUAAAUGACAUUUCAGCUUACUUUUCUUGUUUGUUGUAUUUUUCUAAUCAUAAUACUUGUUUUCUAAUUCCUCUAUGGAAACAAAUCUUUGGGUUUUAGAGAUUAGAUUGGAUUCAAGUGAACCAAAUCAAUCCUUGGAAUGUGGGGGAUUGAUCAAGAUUAUGUAGCUAUUUAGAAGUCAUAUUUUCGAUUGAUUGUAUUUAGAUUAUUAUGAUUGUAUUAGCUAUUUUUAAGAAGUUACUUUGUAUUCACUUAAAUUUAAUGUUAGCAAGCCGAAUUAAAUAUAUGAUGAGAGGCUUGUAUAGAUUUUGUAUAAAAGUUUAUUGAGUGCAUUCAAAUCUAUCCAUUAAAUAAUAGACGUUUUAUGAGAGAGCAAAUUAAUAUUGUAAACAUUAUUGAGGGUGUAUGAUGCCCAAGUUCUCAAGGGGGAUUAUUAUAGUUUUAGGUACAAAUAUGAUUUCUCUAUACUUGGAGAGUGGAGUGUGAAUCAUUUGUUGUAUUCGUGUUCAAAGAUAGCGAAAUUACUCACUAAACUAGGCUCCGCAAAUAUCGAGAAAUCGAAUUGUGUAAAUAAACCUCUAUGUUAUUUUUAUUUUAUUUGCACGAUUUUUCUUAAUGCCAAGUCCUAGUGACUACUACAAUCAAAUACUUUCAUUAUAGUUUUGUAUUUCAGCAAAUAAACAACAAGAAGUAACAACAAGCUCCAAUUUAAAAUCAAUUUAAAAAUACUUUAAAGAAAAUUUGUUUAUAUACCAAUAGUAUUUGAACCUUUCUUAUGAAAUUAAUUUUUUCUAAUAAUGUAUCAAAUAUUAAAAAAAUAUUCAACUCAAAUUGAAUAUGAGUAUGUAAUUAUUUCUCAAAUUAAAUUUUGGCCCUAUUCAUAAACAUUUAGUUUUUUUCUUAAUAAACAUUUUCGGCUUCAACGUAGAAGUAUGGGACCUCCCAUGCAAGAUAUAUAUUUUAGCAACUUGCUAAUAUAAUAAAGUAUUUUCAUUUGCAAAGUCAUACAAAACAUCCAGUCACACUACAAUAAUUGAACAUUUCAUAUAUCUCAAACUCUACCUCUCUUUUUCCAUUUUUCUCCAUAGGCGGCCAGAUAAUUUUCUUCCUCUUGCUUUUUGAUUCAUUUUCAAAGAAACUUCCCUAACUUUCAUAGUCUAAUAUCUUUAUGAAAAACCCAAUCUUUCAAUCCAUUUUGUGUUCAUUCAAAUCAAGCAAAAAGGAGCUCUAGAAUCCCUCUCCAAAAAUCCUCCAACAUGUUCAUUCAUCGACUCCUUUUUGCUUCAAUAUUCAUAGUGUGUUGCCUCACAACGCUUACAAAUGGAGCUUCACUUCCAAAUGGUGAAG